CCUCCUCAACCUCAACCCCGAAAUCCCAAGCGCAGAACCACUGGGCUUCCGGUUCUCCUGUGCGCGCCCCGGAUCCGCCACACACCUCGCCCCUUCUCCCUGGGCUAGCUCUCAGGACCGUAACCCCUUCCCAAGCGGGGCCGAGCAACGCUCUCAGCAGCUGAACUAAGACUUCGGAGGCCGCACGUCCCCCUCCGCAGGCCCCGCCUGGGCCUCUCGGCUCGGCUGCCCUCCAUUGCACCCCUGGCCCAACCGUGCUGACGCAGAAGAGUGGGGCAGCACGAGCUCAGGGCCCGGCACUUACUCGGGAAGCCACUGCAGUUACCAAAGAGUAUGUCGCUUAUUGUCUAAGAGGUUGGACUCCUGAAAGCCUGGACAGUGUCAUUAUCUUCACCUGAAGAGUGGAAAAAUUCAAGCAAAGAGUUUCUCAGGAAAUCACCAAGUAAAUCAUCUGGAGUAAGUCAGCAGGAUUCACAGUGACUCCCCCCAACCACCUGGUGUUUCUCUCCGAAAGCAGCACAUGGUACCAGUGUGAACUCUCCUCCUUCAGAAGUCCCAUCAGGUGUCUCAG